rnacentral:piRNA from 5 species
UCAAGUGUAGUAUCUGUUCUUAUC